UAGCUAAACUGCUGGAAUUCGAACUCGAUCCAAGCAAGAUUUCCCAUCCAGCUUGUUGCUUUGCUGAAUUUCCAGGUAGUCUUUGUAUUUCAUGCCAGCGUAUGCUGCUGGUUCAUUGCCUUUACUGCUCACUAAUAACUCUGGUGCUGGGCUAACGACCGAGUCUAGUGAUGGUCCAUGUGCCAUAGCUAUGGAUAUCCUUGUAGCCUUGUUGUUCACCAUUGCUCGGUGCAGAACACUCUUGUACCUUCCAUUGCUCAAAAUCUAGUAAUAAAAAAACACGAACUUCACAUUUUUAACAGCAUUAUUAAGCCUUAGGAAUCUUGGAUCGACUCCAAGCCUAAUUGUAAUGGAUAACAUGACCAGGAAGUCAGAAUGCACCUCAAGGUGAUCUCCAGUGUUAACCAGGAAGGAGUUGGGGAGGGCACAGACAUUGACCCACUUCCCUUCGUGUUGAAUUUGAAGGCCACCAAUUCCAUUGUAGAUUAGAAGUGUCAACAAGCCAUGAUCUGAAUGAGGGGGCAAGCCCAUUGCAAGCUCUGGCUGUGGACAAGUUGGAUACAAGUUUCCAACAAAUAUUUGUUUCCCCUGUUCCAAAUUCUGUGCCUUGUCUAUGUAGCUUCCUUCCAAUCCCAAACUUUCUGAUAUUCCUUUCAGUAACCCCCUUGCUACUUCUCUAACUCUUUGGGAGUACUCUAAUGAAAUCUCACUACAUAAAAAAAGAUCCAACCAAAAACUAGAAAUUCUAUAAGCUUAAGAUUCCUCUACUUUAAUCAUGAUUUUUCUCACAAGAUUCUGUCUUAUCUCAAAAGAAAACGAAUAUCUUUUCACCUUUGAAUUCACUUGAAAGGAACACGCAUUAGAACUAAAAGCUGCUAAUGAAGUGGGUGAUGAUCGUUUUAUUUACCUGAGGCCAGCAGGCUUGGUAGGUGAGUAGAACACAGGAUGUACAAAGACCUUGAGAAAAUCCCUCCAAUAGAAAGCCUUUUCCACUGAAACAUUACAGCUGGUGCCAGACCUUAUUGGGUCCAAUACAUGGUUCCCUUUAAACUCUUGCUUCUCCUCUUCUGGCAGAUCAAAAAAACCUUUACACCCAUCCAGUAUCGAGCUGAGAAGGUUCUCUGGCACCCCAUGAUUGAUCACCUAAUAAUUAAGAAAUAAGAAGGAUGGAAGUUUCUUUUACGUUAUAAAUCAAAGAAAAAAACCUAGUUCUCUUGCUCUGUUUUUCGCAUUUGCAUUCCCCAGUUAUAUACCUAAUAACUUUUACUUAUAUUUAAUAGUUUGUUUGAAGUUUUUUACAAAUGAAUAUGUGUAACAAAAUACAGAGCAUGACAUGCACUUGUCAACUAGUUCAGUCCUCAAAGUUGCUGAGAGAGUCAUUCGACAUCACGUCUAGCCAUCGAAGAUCAAAUUUCUAUAACAUGAAGAGCUUUACUUGCUACAUGAAAAGAGAUGAGAUAUACCAUGAAGAAGCCCCAGUCCUGACAGGCUCUGCCAAGUUCAUGAACUAUUUUAGACCGUUGAUCGGGAGUGCCUGAAAUAAGAAGAGAGUAAUCUAUGACAGGAAUGGAGCCUUCUGGGACACAAAUUACUUGGUCAUGGAGAUCAGGAGUGAAGGUGUAAGUGGCAGGGAUGGAGGUGAGACCAGGAGAUUCAGCUAACGUUUUGAUGCUUGUUAUCUUGGUAGGUUGACUAGGAAAUGCUUGGGAGGGAAGAAGGGAAGCUGUUUCAGCAGCCAUUGAGAGAGGGAGAGGAAGUGAGAGAGAGCUGAAUGAUUUGGAUGUGGAUAUGCACACUCAUCUAAUUAAGGCACUCUGAUAAGUAUCAUUUUUGUAUAUGGACAAGGACUUGCUUGUCUGCCGGCUUCACGUCAACAGGCAAUUUUGUAGCUUUGUUUCUCUGUUCUUUCAUCAAGUGUGGACAAGGACUAGGUUGUUUGGUGCCUUCCAAUCAGCUGGUAAUUUGUAAAUUUGUUUAAGAGAUGGUGGACUCCCACAGUUGUGGACUAAAGUAACGUUUAUGAUUAGUAAUAUCUUCUGUUUUUUUAUGUUAAAUUAUGCUUAUUAAAUUUUUUUAUUUUUUUAGAUGGUUUUAAAUUAAUAUUUUUUAAUUAUUUUGAUGUGUUAAUAUUAAAAAUAAAAAAAUUAUUUUAAUAUAUUUUCAAGAAAAAAAAACUUUAAAAGCAACAACUAACACAUUCAUAAAUAAACUUUUUAGGUGUUUUUUAAAAAUAUAUUUAUUUUUUAAAAAAAUAUUAAAUUUAGUUUUUUAUUAUUUUUCGAUAAUUUUAAUAUAUGAUAUUAAAAAUAAAAAAAUUUAAAAAAAUUAUUUAGAUUUCCAUACAAAAAUUACUAAAUUUGGUCCCAACUUUUUUUACAGGUUGCAUAUAUUGCAAUAUCCAUCAUCAACGUGUCUUUGAAUUCCCAGGCUCCAGCAAUAGAAACUUAUAUCCACAGAAGCUAUUCAACUGCAUACCGUUUUCAAUCCAAAAAUACAGGAAAAAUCACAAUACUUCGAGAGCUGAUAUGCGCGGCUUUGACACUCCUAGAGGACAUGUAAUAGGUGUUAUACCAACCUGACAUUUCCCAGCAUCUGUACUAAGAGUCACCAAUUCAAUUGGCAGUUCAAAGGAUUCAAGAAACAUAUUAUAGCAACAUCCUGAAAACUGCUUGAUGCAAUUCCUUAUGACCUGAUAGAUACAUUCUAACAAAGUGCUAGUGUUGGACUUGAAUCAAUAACAGGUAUCAUCAUGAAGUUAAUGCCAACUAAACUACAAUGCAGACACCAUAAACAUCUCAAUGUAAGUUUCAUGCAUCAACAGUGCAAGAACUCAAUACCAAAACACAACAGAUAUUUCAGUAAUCCCAUCAAGAUUUUUUCUACAAUUUCUACACUUUAAAGCACACAAUCAUUUUCUGUGGGAAAAAUUCAUAUAACCAAGAUGAUACUCCAGCCAUUCCUUACCAACACUAAAUAUCUUUGCUUGUUCAUAGAAGAAUUAGCCAGAAAAUGAAUAGCCCACAUGAGAGAAACAUCAAACCUGAAAGCAUAAAAUCCUAAUCAAACCUAAGCAUGUUGUAGAAAUCUGCAAAGACUCGAACUUUACACAAACAUGUUGAAAUUCAACAAGCAAAAUCUGUCUUAAAUAGAAACCCAGAAGAGUUAAAGUGAUUCUCGUUCUUACUUGUGUAUAACGUUGUGAUUUUGGAGAAACUGAGGUGAGGAAGAGAGUUUUGCGUGGCGAAAGGCUAGUGCUUAUUAGUUUUUCAGAAGGAGCUGUGAUUUUUUACAGCAGAAGAAAGGCGGGGAUUUUAGCAGGUGGUAGUGUUGGGAAUUGAGAGUAAUUAUCAAGGAUAAAAUAGGAAACCAGGUAGCGAAGUCGUAAGCGACAUGCCGUUUAUAUCAACUGAAGUGAACUACAUGUAGUUCCCUGUUUGUUUAAAUUGCUUUUCUGCAAACUACAUGUCAUUCAUUCAAAAUUUGCUUACAGCCUAUCCCAGUCUAAGUUAUUUCCUCUCCUGCCAGGAUAGUAUUCAUUUUUUUUAAUCUAUAUUUUUUACAAUUUUAAUUUCAUCAUAUUUUUAGGGUUUAUAUUUAUUUUAAAUUGAAAUUAUAAUUUUUUAUAAUUUAUUUUUUAUGAGAUUAUCUCAGAUUAUGACCAAAAGUGCAAGUUUGAUGGAUUAACUCGGAAAAAAAUUUAAUUGAUUUUUUUUUCUCAAUUUUAUAUUUUAACAUUGAGUUAAUUUGAAAUUAGAUUUCAUGAUUUUUUUCGGUCUGGUUUCUAUGAGGUUAUCUCAUCUCAUGACUCGGGUCACGAGUUUAGCGAGUUAAUCUUGAUUACCUCGAGUUAUUUUUUUAUCUUUUUUUUAAUCAAUUUUUUUUCAAUCUUAUCUUUCAAUAUUUGAUUGAUUAAUAAUUAAACUUCACAAUUUGUAUUAAUUUAUUUUCUAUUAGGUUAUCUUAAUUUGUACCCGGGUUACGAGCUUGAUAGGUUAAAUCGGGUUGACUUGGGUCAUUUCCUUGAAUCCUUUUUUAAUUGAUUUAUUUUUCAGUUUUAUCAUUCAAUAUUGAAUUUAUUAGAAAUUGAGUUUCGUAAUUUGUUUUGGUUUGCUUACUGUAGGGUUAUCAUGAUCUCAUAACUUGGUAUGUGGAUUGACAAGUGAACUCAUAUUGACCCGAAUAGAUAUAAUAUAUUGUCAUCUUAAUAUUUAUUAAAACAAUCUCAUCUUAAAUAUUUAUUUUGAGUUAAAAUAUAUUUUUACCGAUUAUUUGGAUUGUUUUUAAACCUGUUAAGAUGAAUAAGUCACAUUAUAUCAAUUUCUAUAUAAUUUAAUUUUUUUAUAUUAAAAAAAUAUUAGUAACAUUUAAAUAUUUUAUUUUACAUUAAAAACAAUUCAUCCGACUAGCAACGGGACGCAAACCAAAAUGAUGUACUUGUAUCUCGGAAAAAUCUGAUGGUAUUAAUUCGAGAAAUUAUUAUAUAAGCAUACGUAUUCAUCCCUACCAAAAAAUUCUAAUAAUAUUAACACCGGAGAAAUUAUUACACGAAUGCAGUUCAGGAGAACAAAACAUUGAUACAUAAUUUCGUGCUGGAUUCUGCAGGGAGAAAACCGACAUGACAACAUCACCGUUGUUUGCCUUAUUGCUGGCCUUAUGAGAUAAGAAGAGAAAGGAAAAGUAAAAUCAAACUAGAAAUGGUCUUAAUCUCAAUAAACAACUAUUGAAUCAUCGUUCCUCAAGCAAACAUCCUUAAUUCAGAAGCAUGAUUAUUUGUUUUUAGGUUCUGUUGGGUCUCAAUUAUCAGCAGAGAUAAAGAAUGUUCAGAAGCGUCAUGGUUUCUGAAUGUGCAAAACUUCUAGUAUAAUGCUUCUUCUUCUUCUUCUUCUUCUUCUUCUGUUGGAGCUCACCAUAGAAGUAAGAAAAGAAGCCCCAGAGAGACAGAACAAGAGAAAUUGCCUUUUCAGCAUGGAACUUCUCAUGGUAGAACAGCACAGCUAGAGACUGUCACUGGCAGCAGGGUGGCAAUUAUAAUACCAGAAAGCAAUGAGGAGCCGCAGAAAGUCACACCAAUGGCUCCCAUGAAGAAGCAUUGCCACAAGAUUGCACUAAAAAUAAUCGCCACGUGAUAUUUUUCUUGCCCAAGUUCACAUGCACUUGCCUCCUUUGGAAUUUCCUGCAUUAAAAAGUAAAAGACACUCUCCGAAGGAUUGGAUUGCCUGCAUUAAUAAGCAACUAAUUAUUAUGUGUGCGUGUAAGAGCAUGUAUGCCGUAGAGACUGGCCUGAAAGUCCUAGUGUACAAACAUCCCAGCAGCACAGAAUGCAGUCGCGAAGAAAGACUUAACCAUCUGAAUCUCCACAACCAAAGUAUAGGUGAUGGUUUGCUUAGCUUUUUUGUAUGUCAGCUCAACUACUGGUAGCACAAACCCAUAAAGUGCUGCAGUUCCAAGAGUCAUGAAAACUCCCAAGAAGUACUGCUUGUUGGUUUCAUGAGCAGGGCGAUCGGAACUUGUGUGAAGAACUAGUAUGACAGCUCCAAUGGUCAACAAGAAAAUUGCAUUGAUGGUAAAAGAUGGGAACUUUUGCUCGACCAAAACAAAAGCAAAAAUCAGCAGUAUAAGCUAACUGGGUGGCAAUUAUAAAAGCAGAAGUGGAAACAGGAAGGAGAGAAACACCAUAGGCGGAAAAGAAAUCAUCCAAGGCCAGUUAGAACACCGAGAACAGCAGAAGCUAGGAAGAGCCUAGGGCUUACAUAGAAGAGCUUGGUCGUAGCACCCUCCUUGCUUCGGCGAAAUAACAUGUAUCAAUGAGAGGAAAUAGGACAAAUGGCCAACCAACAGUUUGCAGAAAGCUUGAUAUCCAAACACUCUUGUCUCUUGCCACCCUUUAAGAAACUAUAGCCGCUGGAUAAGAGGGCCGCCGCAGUUUCCGAGGGCCAGCAAUGCACCAUUCAAUAUGAGUAGGGAUUUCUUCAGGACUUCAUUCAUUUUCUCUGCUCCUGCUAAUGUUGGGUUACUACUACUGCUAUUCUCCAUCUCUGUGUGCCCACUCUUUAGGCCUUAACAAUCACUGCAAAUCAUAAAAUGGGACUCCGAGAAAAUGAUAUUGGAAAAAUAUUCUAAACAGGAUUAUGAGGUUUGAAAUCUAACUUAGCUGCAAUUGACAGGUUAAAAUUCUUUGAAGAGACAAUGGACCUUUAUUUUGCAGCUCCCUAACACUCUUAUCGAUUGCAGUAACCUAAAUGGAGAAUGAACACCUACAAGGCCGCCAUCACUCAAUAUUAAACUUUUAUUUUAAUACAUGACUUACUAUAGAGUUACCUCUGUUGAACUUAAAAAUGGGCAAAUCAGGAUUUCCUAGGCUGCCUGACAGUCACUACCUCAACAUCAAAUGACACCUGAAGAGCAAAGAACAGCCCAAAAACCCCAUUUGGAGAAAUGGAAAAACAAGGAUGAAAAGAAAAAUAUAGGUCUUCAUCAAGUAUUAAUCUUUGAAGUUAAUUUUGUUUGGUAGGAUGACUCUUCAUAAUACUGUAAAUUGGACAAGAUCCAGUGUGACAAGUCUCUGCUUUUACAUCAAACAAUUAUAUUAUUACAGAAAACUCUAAAUGAGAUGCGAAAACUACACCCGCUAUAUACCAGAACAGAACCAGCUGCAUGGUCUAAAACCAAAACAAGAGGAGAACGUGUCGUCUUAGAUGUGGUUGAGCUACAAAUCUCUUGCUAUCACGUCAAAAAUAUGUGCCCGAUGGGCAAUGGCAUUACUGGAAGUCAAUGAAACAAAAAAAUGUUAUACAGUGGCUAUCUACUGUUCCGGCCGGCCGGGUCUGAUUCAAAACUAAACAUAUUAAACCGGAUCUGAUCCAGUUAAAAAAAAAAUUAAUUUUUAUUUUAUUUUUAAUUGUGUUUUAUUCGAAAAAUUAUAGUCCUUGUCGGAUGGAUUUCGUACGUGAUGAAAUUGUAGAUAGUUUAAUGAAACAAUAAAAAAUACUUGAUAUAAAUAUUAUUUAUUUCAUGAUGUAAUAGCAAUAGUUAAAUCUAUAAUAUUUAAAUUAAAAAUCAUCAAUAUUAAUAUAUAUAUAUAUAUAUAUAUAUAUAUAUAUAUAUUUUUUAAUUACUUUAUAUCCUCAAUUUCAAAAGCAUUCUUUUAACCAAUUAAACUACUUUUUAUUCAACCUCAAUUUCAACCACAGUUUUAAUCAAAUAUAUAUAAAUAUCAAACCAACCUCAAUCAAAAGUACUUUUUGUAAAAUAACUUUUUUCAAAUCACAACCACAAAAAUUAUCACAAUACCAAACACACUCGUCUCUACUUGGACUGUGGAUUUUCUCGUUUAUGAAGACUUGGAUUAGGAGUAUUUUUAUCUUUUACAUUAUCAUUUUACCAAAAAAUUAAAAGCCUUUGAUGUAGAGAUAUUUUAGUCUUUUUAUAUGCUUAUUGGUAAUUAAAAGAUUGAACGGAUGUAUAUUAAUCUUUUUUAAUUUUAAUUGUACAGUAAAAAAAAACUAUUGUACCUUAAGAUAAAAAAAAAAAUAAACUUGUUAACCAAGGGAUUUUUUUGAUAUUUUACAAACUUUUGAAUAGUAAAGAUACUUGUUUACCUUAAAGGUUAGAAAAUAAUUGAGUUGCUGGCCAAGAGCAUUUUGGGGUUUUCACUUCUUAAGCUAUAGAAAAAAUAAGUAUUUACCCUUAUAAAAGACAAAAGGUCAUUUAUGCAUUGAGGGGUGUUUUUGUAUUUUUAUAUUGAUUUAUUUGUUAUUUUCAGUUUAACGAGAAACAUUUUAGUUAUUUUCCAUUGACCUUUUUUUUUUUUUGAAAAGGUGCUGGCGCAUAUGGUUAUGCAUUAGCGCGUUGGUGGUGUUCGUGUUCUUUAGGCGACGCAUGCGACGCCACCUGUUGUUCAAACUUGGUCUUCCAUCGUGUCCCUAGAAGUGCCACCACAUCCUCGUUCUCCUGGUGGAGUGUGUGACAGUGGUUGAUGAGCGGUUUAUCAUCGGUCGGCGUUUUUUUUUUCUUCUUCCUUUUGUUCUCUCUCUCUCAGAGUAAGUACAUGUUUGUCCUUUUUUUUUUCAAUUCCAAUCCUUAUGUUUUGGUUGGCUUAAUUUUAUUCUUGAUCCUUUUACAAAUUUUUUUUUUAUGAUUUCAAUUCAGUUUUUAAAUUAUAAUUUUUCAUAUUUUUUUUUUUAAUUUGAUCCUUAUUUUUUUGAUUUCUCAUUUUGAUCAUUGACUCUUUUGUUAGAGUUUUGUUGGUUUUCAAUUUUGUCUUUCAAUCAACAUUUAUGUUUUUUUUUUAAUUUUUCCCUCAUUCUUUUGAUUUCUUUUUCCUUUUAUUGAAGUUUUUUUUUCUUCAAUUUAAUUUUUUUAGAUGCCCUUGUUUUUUUAAUUUCAAUUUUCACCCUCAUUCUUUUAAUUAUAUUUUUUAUGUGGUCGAUUUUUUCCCCGUUCACACCCUUCAGUGUUUGUUUUUUCAGGAUUAUAUUUCAUCAUUUUUCUAUUUUUCAUCCUUGAUCCUUUUACAAAAAAAAUUUAUGAUUUCAAUUCAGUCUUUAAAUUAUAAUUUGUCAUAUAUUUUUUUUUAAUUUGAUCUUUAUUCUUUUGAUUUCUCAUUUUGAUCAUUGACUCUUUUGUUAGAGUUUUGUUGGUUUUCAAUUUUAUCUUUCAAUUAACAUUUUUAUUUUUUUUAUUUUUCCCUCAUUCUUUUGAUUUCUUUUCCUUUUGUUGAAGUUUUUUUUUUCUUCAAUUUAAUUUUUUUAGAUGCCCUUGUUUUUUUAAUUUUAAUUUUCACCCUCAUUCUUUCAAUUAUAUUUUUUAUGUCGUCGAUUUUUUCCCUGAUCACACCCUUUGGUGUUUGAUUUUUCGGGAUUAUAUUUCAUCAUUUUUCUAUUUUUCAUCCUUGGUCCUUUUACAAAAAACAUUUAUGAUUUCAAUUCAGUCUUUAAAUUAUAAUUUGUCAUAUAUUUUUUUUUUCAAUUUGAUCCUUAUUUUUUUGAUUUCUCAUUUUGAUCAUUGACUUUUUUGUUAGAGUUUUGUUGGUUUUCAAUUUUGUCUUUUAAUCAACAUUUAUGUUUUUUUUUUUAUAAUUUUUCCCUCAUUCUUUUGAUUUUUUUUCCUUUUGUUGAAGUUUUGUUUUCUUCAAUUUAAUUUUUUUAGAUGCCCUUGUUUUUUUAAUUUUAAUUUUCACCCUCAUUUUUUUAAUUAUAUUUUUUAUGUAGUCGAUGUUUUCCCCGAUCACACCCUUCGGUGUUUGAUUUUUUGGGAUUAUAUUUCAUCAUUUUUCUAUUUUUCAUGCUUUUGAUUUAAUCAUACGAGUCACAUGUUUUAAGUGUUAAUAUGAUUAGUUUUCCCUCAUUUUCUUUUAUGAUUUUAUCAUUCUACAUUAUUUGUUUUUGAAAAAAUAGAUUUGUAGUUAGCUUCAAUUUCUAUUCAAUUGAUUUGUCUCGAUCUCAUUACUUAUACCACAGGUUUCACACGUCUUUUUUGGAUGAAGAUUUUUUUAUUUUAUUGUAUGCAGAUAAGUUUUGUUUUGUAAAAAAAAUAGUUAUUUUGAAAUAAUAUUUUGAAUAUGUUCAUCCAUGCAUAUUUUGUUUUCCUUUUAUUUUAUUAACUCAGUUUCAUAUGUGUUUUUAUUUCUAUUAUCUUUGGUUGAUUUUAAUAAAUAAGUUUAGUGGACACAAACGAGUAAAUUAUUUUAAUCUACAUUCAUCUAUCAAUUUUUUCGCUUUCUCUUUUAGUUAUUAUUAACGAAUUUUUUUAUUUAUAUGCAUAGAUUAUUAUUAGAUGUUUGGAUAAACUUUUUGAUUUAUACUUAGAAUUCUUUUUAUGUAAAAAUACAUAUCAAAAUAGUCUUUGUAGUCGAGUUUUUUUCUUAAAAAUAAAUUACAACCCGUUAUAGAGCGCAGGUCAGAUCAAAUUUUUAUUUCUCUCUAAUUGCUUUUUUUCGCUCUCAUAUUUUUAGAUGCUUUUUUUUUUCAUGAAUUCAUUUUCUAAACAUUUGAUUUAUUAGAGAUUCAGUGUCAUAUGAUCUUAUCGUUCUGCAAUUGUUUUUAUUUUUUUAAAAAAUAUUGGUUUGGUGGUUAUUUUCAAUUUCUUUUCUAUGAGUUUAUUUUGAUCUCAUGAUCUAAGUCACGAGUUUUGCAUGCUAUUUUUUAAUAUAAGGGUUUUUUUAGAAUUAUUUUGUUUGAGUUUGAUUUUUCAAGAUAUUAUCCUAAUUCAUUUAUAAUUCUUUUUUUAUUUAUACAAAGGAAGUUUAUUUUUAAAAAUAAAAAAUAUUCAUUUUUAAAUAAUAUUAUUGAUUUAUUUGGCCUUGCAUAUUUUUUAUAAGACGUGAGUUUAUUCAAUCAUUUUUAUUUGUGUUUAUCUUUUAAGUCAUAAAUUUUUUAGGAUAUGAAUAUAUCUUUUAUUGAUUAAGUAAACAAACUUAGUCAACAUAAUCGAGUGAAUGUCUUAUUUUGUGUGAUUAAAUAUCUUAAUCUGCAUUUAUCUCUUAAUUUUCUCAAUCUCUCUUUUGGUUAUUGUCAAUGAUUUUUUUUCUCAUUUAUUUACAUAAAUAAUUAUUGAUUUAUUUAAUUAGAUGGCUUUUCAAUUUACACUUUAAUUGUUUUAUGUUAAAAAACACAAAAAAACAACCUACAUAUCCAAUAUUUUUUUGGAAAAAAACCCACGACAUAACACGAGUUAAAUGACUAGUUUGAGUGCUAUGCAGAGUGGAAACGAAUUAGAACUUUGUCUUUUGGUACAAAUAUUUUAAUUGGAUAGGUUGUGUUUGAUUACUAAACAGCAGAGACAAACACUAAGAGUAUGAGACAUAGAACAAAAAUUUACUUCAAAACUGUUUUAACAGAUUUAUUUUAUGUCUUUCUUCAUCUCUCUAACUAAAUAUAUUUUUAUCUUUUAGAUAGUAUUUAAUUACUAUCACAUGAUAAAAGAAACAAAAAUAUUUUUAGUUAAAAAGAUAGAGAUAUAAAAAUAAAUUUGUUCCUUGAUAAGUUUAGAAUGAGUUUCUAUACUUCCAAAACAGGAGGUGUAAAGAGGGCAUGUCUUCAAAUAUAAUAUUUUUUAUUCAUAAAAUAUCAUUGUAAAAAACUUUCAAUUCUAAAAUUAUCAAACUAAGAUAUGUAUGGAUAAAAAUAAUUAUUAUCAUAGUUUUAAAACUUAACUUGAGGGUCAAUACGAAACAAAGUCUAGGUCAUAAUUCGGGAGAGUCAACUUGGAUUGACUUAGGUAAAAGUAAGAAUAAAAAUUAUUAUUAUUAUAAUUUUAAAACCCGACCCAGGGUUGAUCUAGGAUAAAGCUUAGGUCAUAGAUUUGAAGAGUCAACUCAAAUUGACCGGGUUCAUAUAAGAAUAAAAAAAAUUAUUAUCAUAGUUUUAAAACACGACUCGAGAGUUUACUCGAGACGAAGUUUGGAUCACGGGUCGAGAGGGUCAACUGGGUUGAUUUGUGUCAACGUAUAGAUAAUAGUGAUUAUUAUUAUAAUUUUAAAACUCGAUCUGAGAGUUGAACAAGACAAUGCCCGGGCCAGGAGGACAACCUAAAUUGACCCAAAAUCUUUUUUUUUAAAUAAUAAUAAUCAAAGUACUUUGUUUUGACAAAAACAAUUUUAAAAAGUCAACAUAUUUUUUAUCUAUAUUUUAUUUUAGAUCGAACCAGAUUUUUACCCCAUCAAGUCAGAUCAAUUUUCCCUUUAUGUUUUUAAAUUCAGAUUAGUUCAGGUCCAUAUCUUGGGUCAGCUGGGUAUCACAUCAACCUGACGGGAGAGCUCCCUAGAGGUAAGAAAUGAUGCCUCAGGGAGAUAAAACAAGAGAAAGUCCUUUUUUUGACAUGAAAUUUCUCACGGUGGAAAACAACAGCUAAAGCCCCUGUCAUUUGCAGCAGGGCAGCCAGUGUAAUAGCAUGCAUGGAACAACGCAAACGAAUUGCGUGAAGAAACAUAGCUAUAAAAGAGGGCACUGCAAACAAGAAGCACAUAAUAUUUUGCUUUCCUGAGCUCCACUGUCUACAUAACAAGCAAGAGUGAGAUGGUCUUAAGACCUUAAGACCGACCCACUUCUUAUAUUUUACAAGAAGUCUUUAUUUUGAUUACAAUCACAUUCUUCAUCCAUUCAUUUUCGCAUUCAUGAAAUCAUAGAAGUAUCAUUAUUACCUUCAUGGUUUGGUACACACACAGAAGCAGUAGCUAAACUGCUGGAUCGAACUCGGUCCAAGCAAGAUUUCCCAUCCAGCUUGUUGCUUUGCUGAAGUUCCAGGUAGUCUUUGUAUUUCAUGCCAACGUAUGCUGCUGGUUCAUUGCCUUUACUGCUCACUAAUAACUCUGUUGCUGGGCUAACGACUGAGUCUAGUGAUGGUCCAUGUAUCAUAGCUAUGGAUAUCCUUGUAGCCUUGCUGUUCACCAUUGCUCGGUGCAGAACACUCUUGUACCUUCCAUUGCUCAAAAUCUAGUAACAAAAAAACACGAACUUCACAUUUUUAACAGGAUUAUUAAGCCUUAGGAAUCUUGGAUCGACUCCAAGCCUAACUGUAAAAAAGGAUAACAUGACCAGGAAGUCAGAAUGCACCUCAAGGUGAUCUCCAGUGUUAACCAGGAAGGAGUUGGGGAGGGCACAGACAUUGACCCACUUCCCUUCGUGUUGAAUUUGAAGGCCACCAAUUCCAUUGUAGAUUAGAAGUGUCAACAAGCCAUGAUCUGAAUGAGGGGGCAAGCCCAUUGCAAGCUCUGGCUGUGGACAAGUUGGAUACAAGUUUGCAACAAAUAUUUGUUUCCCCUGUUCCAAAUUCAGUGCCUUGUCUAUAUAGCUUCCUUCCAAUCCCAAACUUUCGGAUAUUCCUUUCAGUAACCCCCUUGCUACUUCUCUAACUCUUUGGGAGUACUCUAAUGAAAUCUCACUACAUAAAAAAAGAUCCAACCAAAAACUUGAAAUUCUAUAAGCUUAAGAUUCCUCUACUUUAAUCAUGAUUUUUCUCACAAGAUUCUGUCUUAUCUCAAAAGAAAAAGAAUAUCUUUUCACCUUUGAAUUCACUUGAACGGAACACGCAUUAGAACUAAAAGCUACUAAUGAAGGGGGUAAUGAUCGUUUUAUUUACCUGAGGCCAGCAGGUUUGGUAGGUGAGUAGAACACAGGAUGUACAAAGAACUUAAGAAAAUCCCUCCAAUAGAAAGCCUUUUCCACUGAAACAUUACAGCUGGUGCCAGACCUUAUUGGGUCCAAUACAUGGUUCCCUUUAAACUCUUGCUUCUCCUCUUCUGGCAGAUCAAAAAAACCUUUACACCCAUCCAGUAUCGAGCUGAGAAGGUUCUCUGGCACCCCAUGAUUGAUCACCUAAUAAUUAAGAAAUAUGAAGGAUGGAAGUUUCUUUUACGUUAUAAAUCAAAGAAAAAUACCUAGUUCUCUUGCUCUGUUUUUCGCAUUUGCAUUCCCCAGUUAUAUAUCUAAUAACUUUUACUUAUAUUUAAUAGUUUGUUUAAAGUUUUUUACAAAUGAAUAUGUGUAACAAAAUACAGAGCAUGGCAUGCACUUGUCAACUAGUUCAGUCCUCAAAGUUGCUGAGAGAGUCAUUCGACAUCACGUCAAGCCAUCAAAGAUCAAAUUUCUAUAACAUGAAGAGCUUUACUUGCUACAUGAAAAGAGAUGAGAUAUACCAUGAAGAAGCCCCAGUCCUGACAGGCUCUGCCAAGUUCAUGAACUGUUUUAGACCGUUGAUCGGGAGUGCCUGAAAUAAGAAGAGAGUAAUCUAUGACAGGAAUGGAUCCUUCUGGGACACAAAUUACCUGGUCAUGGAGAUCAGGAGUGAAGGUGUGAGUGGCGGGGAUGGAGGUGAGACCAGGAGAUUCAGCUAACGUUUUGAUGCUUGAUAUCUUGGUAGGUUGACUAGGAAAUGCUUGGGAGGGAAGAAGGGAAGCUGUUUCAGCUGCCAUUGAGAGAGGGAUAAGAAGUGAGAGAGAGCUGAAUGAUUUGGAUGUGGGUAUGCACGCUCAUCUAAUUAAGGCAAUAUGAUAAGUAUCAUUUUUGUAUAUGGACAAAGGACUUGCUUGUCCGGUGGCUUCAUGUCAACUGGCAAUUUUCAAGCUUUGUUUCUCUGUCCUUUCAUCAAGUGUGGACAAGGACAAGGACAAGGUUGUCCCACAGUUGGUAAUUUGCAAAUUUGUUUAAGAGAUGGUGGAGGCCCACAGUUGUGGACUAAAGGAACUUUUAUAAUUAGUAAUAUCUUCUGUUUUUUUAAUUAUGUUUUUUAAAAUUUUUUAUUUUUUUAAAAGAAUUUAAAUUAAUAUUUUUUAGUAUUUUUUUAUUAUUUUGAUAUGUUAAUAUCAAAAAUAAAAAAAAAUUAUUUUAAUAUAUUUUUUUAAAAAAAAAAACUUUGAAAAGCAACGUCUAACAUAUUUACAAAUAGACUCUUUAGGUGUUUUUUAAAAGUAUAUUUGUUUUUUAAAAAAUAUUAAAUUGAUUUGUUUAAUAUUUUUUUGAUAAUUUUAAUGUACUGAUAUUAAAAAUAAAAAAAUAAAAAAAAUUUAUUUAGAUGCAUUUUCAAAUAAAAAAUAUUUUAAAAAAAUACUUUACACCAUAAUACUAAACAUUUAAAGCAUUGUAAAGAUAUAAAAAAACCUUUUAUUUAUUUAUUUAUUUAUUAUUAUUAUUAUUAAGAUGCUCAAUACAUUGAACCCAAAUACGAAGAGAAGUGGAAAUUUCUUUGUUCUGUCAUGAAGUGAGAUAUUUAAUAGGUAAAAUUAGGUUAAAUCUUUUAAAGUUUGUUAUAUUUAUAAUAUAGGUUUUUUUUUGUUUUUAACUUUAUUUUAAUUUAAUAAUAUGAUAACAAAAAUAAAUGCUUAUAAAAUUAAACACCAACUACAUAUCUGGAUGUUUGUUUGAGACUAUAAUAAUCUUUUAAAAAACAAACCAAAAUAAUUUAUAUAGACAAAAUCAAAAUCACCAUAAUAUUAAAAAAUAAAAUUAAAAGAAAAAUAAAUUCACUUGAAGGGAAAUAUAUAUAUAUAUAUAUAUAUAUAUAUAUAUAUAUAUAUAUAUAUAUAUAUAUAUAUAUAUAUAUAUAAAGGCAGCUCCUUCACUAUUUAUAUGGACAGUGAAGGAGUUGGGUUCACCUCAUAGUUCUAGUAGAGUAGAUAACAAAAAUAAAUUAUCAUAAAUUGAAUAUCAAUUAAAUAACAAAAUGUUUAUUUGAGAUUAAAAUAAACCCAUAACAAACAAACCAAAAAAUUACAAAGAUCAAUUUAAAAUUAAUAUAAUAUUGACGGAUAAAAUUGAAAACAAAAAUGCUAAAACAAAUUCAAUUAAAAGAAAAAAAAUAUAAUAGAAUUUUUUUUUAAAAAAAAUUAAAAAAAUAGAGGUAGCUCUUUCAAUGUCCAUAUGAACAAUGAAGGAGUUGGAUUCACCCAAAUUAUUUUAAUAGAGUUGGUAAUAUGUCCUUGUCAAAUAUGUGUCUUAGUAACUAUAAUUUUAACUUCUAAAAUAAUUAUUUUUUAUGUUCUUUUCAAAAUAAUAAUAAGAUGAAAAUGAACUAAAAACAAAUCAAAGCUAUGUUUUGAGAAAUUUGUUUUAUCUUAAAUUGGUUCAAGUCUAUACUUUAAAAUAUAUAUUUUCUUAUAUAAUAUAUUUUAAAGGAUCUAACUUGCCAUAUCUAUAAUUACCACAUUUUUUAGUUCUUCGUACAUACCUUUAAUUGUGAAGUUAUUUAAUCAUAAAACAAUAAUGCAAUACUAGUAAUAAUAUAUGAUUUAUAGUACAUUAUUUUUGGUACCAUUAAAAUUUAGGAUUAUUAUUCAUUAAGUAACUUAUACAUAAAAUUCUCAAUAUCUACCAAUUCCAGUUUGUAAUGAAAAAAAAAUUAUGACUUGUAUAUUAAGAAAAUGAAGUCAUAGUACUUAGGCUUAACUUUUCUUUCUUGUAUGUCCUUUUUUUUUCAUAAAAAAUUAAAAAAUAUACAUUUUAAUAAUUAUUUUUAUUUUUAGAAAAAAAUUUAUUAAAGUCGUGAAAGAAUUUUUUAUUUCAAUUUCAAUUGUUUUUCUUUUUGGAACUAAUUUCAGGGCGUUUUGGGUUGAGAAAUUAGUUUACUAAGGUUUUAAAGGUGUUUUUUAGAACUCAUCAUAAAUAAUUUUCUUUUUCUAUUUAUUUAUUUGGUGACUUUCAUGUGAGGGUUUAAAAACUAGUUUUAAAAUAUUAUUAAACCCAACCAGAUCCAUAACAAGUGAUAAAUUUGACAGGUUAACCUAGAUUUCUUUGGUCGAUACAAGAUGUCGUUAUCUCAAUAUUAAAAAAACAAUUGCACCUUGAGUUUUAAGUCAACCCGGUUUUGAUUGGAUUGUUUGAGUCGUCUUUAGACCCACCAAGUCUACCAAAUCACAUAGAGUUAACCCUCACAAAGUUUAAUUUAAAAUUUAGGAGAUGCAAAGAGCUGAGUUGAGAGAUUUUUAGAUUGACAUGCUAAACUGAGUUCAAUGACACCGCAAAAGAGUUCUCCAUGAUAAUGCACGAGUGUUGGAUGUUCGAAUUUUUUUAAUAAACUCACAUCAUAAUUAUCAUAUUGUUAUUUUUUUAAAAUUAAUGUUAAAAAGUUGUUAAGCAAGUUCUAAUAAUACAAAGACAAAGAUCUUGAGCUCACAAUUAAAAUGCUACAUGUUAAUAAAUGUUAAAUAGAGUUUUGAUAAAAAAAAAUCUCUAAUCUUGAAUUUAUAAUAAUAAAAAAUUUCUUGCUAAUAAAAAACAAGAGAAUAACAUCUAAAAAACUUCUCUUUUAUGUUCAAAUAUUUCUUGAUUUGACUCACGUUGAAGUGCAUGCCAAUCAAUAAUCUAGUAUUUAACUAUAAGUCAAAAAUCAAAAUUUAUUUUUCUAUUGUUAUGACAGUAUUUUAAAUAAAAAAUAUGUUUGAGAAAAAAAUGAAAGCCUUUUAUUUUAAAUAAUGAAUAUAAUAUGUGUUAUAAUUAAUAAAAUAAACUAUAAAUUAAAUCUUAGUUAAACCAAAAAUUUAUUAAUUUAAUAUUUUUAAAGCCAAAUACACUUUUAAAAUACAAAUAAAAUAUUUUAAAAGAAGGUACUCGACAAAAGAUUCUGGAAGUUCAUGGAUUAUUGUUUUAAUGGAUACUGACUUGAAUUUUGGGUACCAUUCCUGAAUCUGGCAACAAUUCACAUCUUCUUCCUUCAUUGUCCCUGGUUUAAUUGCUUCUCCUGCUAUCUGGUAUAGAACAAGAUAUGCACAUCAUUAGCAACUAUCAUAUAUUAUUUCAUCAUAUAUUCUGUUCUUUCAACUCAAUCUACUAAUAGAUGGGAUUGCUUGACUCUUUCAAGGUCAAUUUUGAAGAAAAUGAUGUGAUCAACCACCAGUUCAUGGUUGUGUUCCCACAGAAAUCAUGCAACAAUUCUCCUUUUGUUGUGUUUCCAUUCCAUAAACGAUAAAAUCAUGUUAAACUAAAAUUCUUUGCGUAUCCCUUGUCAAAGCCUUCACUAUGGCACCUAACAUAAACAAGCAGCUUUCAUGUAGCAAAAAAAUAGGAGCCAAGGAACUAAUCUCAUAUAAAACUCAGAAUCUACAGAAGAAUGAACGUUAAAAAACUAGACCUAACAGUUAGCAGCAUGUGCGCUCAUGACAAGGUGAAAAGAUUUCCAUACAAAAAUUACUAAAUUUGGUCCCAACUAUUUUUACAGGUUGCAUAUAUUGCAAUAUCCAUCAUCAACGUAUCUUGGAAUUCUCAGGCUCCAGCAAUAAGAACUUAUAUCCACAGAAGCUAUUCAACUGCAUACCGUUUUCAAUCCAAAAAUACAGGAAAAAUCACAAUACUUCGAGAGCUGAUAUACGCGGAUUUGACACUCCUAGAGGACAUGUAAUAGGUGUUAUACCAACCUGACAUUUCCCAGCAUAUGUGACUAAGAGUCACCAAUUCAAUUGGCAGUUCAAAGGAUUCAAGAAACAUAUUAUAGCAACAUCCUGAAAACUGCUUGAAGCAAUUCCUUAUGAGCUGAUAGAUAGAUUCUAACAAAGUGCUAGUAUUGGACUUGAAUCAAUAACAGGUAUCAUCAUGAAGUGAAUGCCAACUAAACUAUAAUGCAGACACCAUAAACAUCUCAAUGUAAGUUUCAUGCAUCAACAGUGCAAGAACUCAAUACCAAAACACAACAGAUAUUUCAGUAAUCCCAUCAAGAUUUUUUCUACAAUUUCUACACUUUAAAGCACACAAUCAUUUUCUGUGGGGAAAAUUCAUAUAACCAAGAUGAUACUCCAGCCAUGCCUUACCAACACUAAAUAUCUUUGCUCGUUCAAAGAAGAAUUAGACAGAAAAUGAAUAGCCCACAUGAGAGAAACAUCAAACCUGAAAGCAUAAAAUCCUAAUAAAACUUAAGCAUGUUGUAGAAAUCUGCAAAGACUCGAACUUUACACAAACAUGUUGAAAUUCAACAAGCAAAAUCUGUCUUAAAUAGAAAACCCAGAAGAGUUACAGUGAUUCUCGUUCUUACUUGUGUAUAAUGUUGUGAUUUUGGAGAAACUGAGGUGAGGAAGAGAGUUUUGCGUGGCGAAAGGCUAGUGCUUUAUUAGUUUUUCAGAAGGCGCUGUGAUUUUUUACAGCAGAAGAAAGCCGGGAAUUUUAGCAGGUGGUAGUGCUGGGAAUUGAGAGUAAUUACCAAGGAUAAAAUAGGAAACCAGGUAGCGAAGUCGUAACCGACAUGCCGUUUAUAUCAACUGAAGUGAACUACAUGUAGUUCCCUGUUUGUUUAAAUUGCUUUUCUGUAAACUACAUGUCAUUCAUUCAAAAUUUGCUUACAGCCUCUCCCACUCUAAGUUAUUUCCUCUCCUCGUAUAAUACUAUUUUUUUAAUCUAUAUUUUUCUUUACAAUUUCAAUUUCAUCAUAUUUUUUAGGGUAGAUUGAACUUUAUAAUUUUCUCAAUUUAUUUUUUAUGAGAAUAUUUAUACUUAUGACCACCACCAUAUGUUUGACUAAUUAACAUGAUUUUUUUUUCUUUUUCUAAUUGAAUUUUUUUUUUAAUUUCAUUUUUCAAUAUUGGCUCAAUUAAAAAUUAGACUUUAUGAUUUAUUUCGGUCUGAUUUCUAACCUAUCUCAUGACUUAAGUCACGAAUGAGUUAAUAUUUGAAGUUAAUUUCGUUUAAUAGGAUGACUCUUCUUAAUACUGUAACAUGGACAAGAUCCAGUGUAACAUGUCUUUUCUUUUACAUCAAACAAUUAUAUUAUUAUUGAAUACUCUAAAUAACAUGGGAAAACUAUUGUACGUGUUCAUUGUAGAUUAAGACACAAUCUACUGUGGACCGUGGAUUUUCUCAUUUUCAAAGGCUUGGGGUGGGGGUGUUUUUUUCUUUUCAUAGAAAGUAACAUUCUUAUUCUGCCCUAUGAUUGAAAAAAAUAGAAGUCUUUGAUUUAAGGAUAUUUGAUCUUUUUUAUAUGCUUAUUAGUAAUUAAAGGAUUGAACGGGAAUAUGUUAGUCUUUUUAAUUUUAAUUGUACAAUAAAAAAACUAUUAAACUUGUUGACCAAUAGCUUUUUUUACAUCUUACAAUCUUUUGAAUAGCAAAAAGAAACUUCUUUACCCUGAAGGUAAAAAAUUAUUGAGCUGUUGCCAAGGGUAUUUUAGGGUUUUCGCUUCUUAAGUUAUAGAAAAAAUAUGCAUUUACCCUUAGAAAAGACAAAAGGUCAUUUAUGCAUUGAGGGGUGUUUUAAUACUUCCACAUUUGUUUAUUUGUUAUUUCCAGGUUAAUGAGUGGCGUUUUAAUAAUUUUCCAUUGAUUUUUGUUUUAUUUUUUUAAUUUGAAAAGGUGCUAGCACGUGUGGUUAUGCGAUAUCGCGUUGGUGUCGUCCACGCUCUUUAGGUGGCGCGUGCGAAGUCUUCUACUGUCUUUAGAAGCGCCACUGUGUCCCCUUUCUCCUGGUAUAGUGUGUGAUGGUGGUUGAUUGACAUUUUAUCGUUGGUUAGCAUUUCUUUUUUUUCUUCCUUCUUGUCUCUAUCUCCUAGAGUAAGUACAUGUUUGUCCUCCUUUCUUUUUCUUCCUUUUUCAAUUCCAAUCUUUAUAUUUUAGACGACUUAAUGUUGUUUUUGGCCCUUUUAUAAAAGUUUUUUAUAAUUUCAAUUCAGUCCUUAAAUUACAAUUUAUUAUAUUUUUUUUUUCAAUUCAAUCCUUUUUUUUUUCUUAUUUUGACCCUUGGCUCUUUUGUUGGAGUUUUAUUGGUUUUCAAUUUUGUCCUUCAAUUAACAUUUAUGUUUUUUUUUUUAAUUUAGCUCUCAUUCUUUUUAUUUUUUUUUUGUUGAAGUUUUUUUUCAAUUUAACCCUCCAAUUUAAUUUUUUUAGAUGCCCUCAUUUUUUUUUAAUUUCAGUUUUUACCCUUAUUCUCUUGAUUUUUUUUAUGUAAUCGAUUUUUUUCUCGAUUACAUCCUUUGGUGUUUGAUUUGUUCGAGAUUAGGUUUUGUCAUUUUCCUAUUUUUCAUGCUUUCGAUUUAAUCAUACAGGUCACAAGUUUUAAGUGUUAAUGUGAUUAGAAAUCCUUUUUUCUCUCAUUUUCUUUUAUAAUUUUAUCAUUCUACAUUAUUUGUUUUUGAAAAAAAGGUUUUAUGGUUAUCUUUAAUUUAUAUUCAAUCAAUUUGUCUUAAUCUCAUUACUUAGACCACGGGUUUUGCAAGUCUUUAUUGAAUAAUGUUUUUUUUUAAUUAAUUUUUGGAGAUUUUUUAUUCUAUUGUUUUUAAUUUAUUUUAUACAAAUAAGUUUUGUUUUGUAAAAAAAUAGUUAUUUUGAAAUAAUAUAUCAAAUAUGUCCAGGAAUGGAUAUUUUUCUCCUUUUUAUUUUAUUAACUCAGUUUCAUAUGUUUUUUUUAUUUUUAUUAUCUUUGAUUGCUUUUAAUAAACAAGUUCAAUGGAUAUAAACAAGUAAAUUAUCUUGAUCUAUAUUCAUCUUUUAAUUUUUCUACUUUCUCUUUUAGUUAUUAUUAACGAUUUUAUUUAUUUAUUUGCAUAGAUUAUUAUUAGAUGUUCGGAUAAACUUUUUUAUUUUCACUUUAUGAUUCUUUUUAUGUAAAAAAAAACAUAUCAAAAUAGUCUUUAUACUCAAGUGUUUUUCUUUUAAAACUCAAUUAGAACUCACUACGGAGCACAUGUUAGAUCAAACUUUUAUUUCACCCUAAUUGUUUUUUUUUUCACCCUCAUUUUUGUUAGAUGCUUUUUUUUUCAUGUAAUCAUCUUUUGAACAUUUAAUUUGUUGGGGAUUCGGCUUCAUAUGAUCUUAUUGUUUUGUAGUUUUUUUAUAAAAAUAUUGAUAUGGUGAUUAUCUUCAAUUUCUUUUCUAUGAGUUUAUCCCGAUCCCAUGAUCCAGGUCACGGGUUUUGCAUGCCAUUUUUAAUAUAAGGGUUUUUUUAGAAUCGUUUUAUUUGUGUUUGAUUUUUCAAGAUAUUAUUCUAAUUCAUUUGUAAUUUUUUUUAUUUAUACAAAUAAAGUUUUUUUUUCAAAAUAUAAAAUAUUCAUUUUAAAUAACAUUGUUGGUUUGUUUGCCCUUGCAUUUUUUUUUGUGUUUUAAUAAAUUUCAAAAUAAAUUUUUUUUUGUGUUUUAAAUAGGACAUGAGUGUAUUCAGUCAUUUUCAUUUGUGUUUAUUUUUUAGGUCGUGAGUUUUUUAGGAUGUGGAUAUAUCUUUUAUUAAUUAAGUAAACAAUCAAGUGAAUGUCUUAUUUUGUGUGAUUGAAUACCUUGAUCUACAUUCAUCUCUUAAUUUUCUCACUUUCUUUUUUGGUUAUUGUCAAUGAUUUUUUCUCAUUUAUUUACACAAAUUAUUAUCAAUUUAUUUAGUUAGAUACUUGUAUUGGCUUUUCAAUUUAUACUUUAUUUUUUUAUGUUGAAAAACACAUUGAAAAUUUUAGGUAGCAUUUAAUUAUUAUCUUGUGAUAAAAUAGACAAAAAUAUGUUUAGUUGAAGAGAUAAAAAUAUAAAAAUAAAUUUUUUCCUUGAUAAUUUUGGAGUGAGUUUCUAUACUUCCAAAACAUGAGAUAUAAAAAGGCAUAUCUUCUAAGACAAUGUUUUUUGUUUUUUAUUCAUAAAAUAUUAUUGUAAAAAACUCUCAAUUCUAAAAUUAUCAAUCUAAGAUAUGUACAGAUCAAAAUGAUUAUUAUCAUAGUUUUAAAACUUAACUUGGAGGUCGAUUCGGAGCAAGACCUGGAUCACGGGUUAGGAGGGUCAUCUUGGAUUGAUUUGGAUCAACAUAAAAAUAAAAGUGAUUAUUAUUAUAAUUUUAAAAUCCGACUAGGGGCUGACCCAGGGCAAAGCCUGGGUCACGAAUCUAGAGAGUUAACUCGUGUUGACUAGGUCAAUAUAAGAAUAAAAAUAGUUAUUAUCGUAGUUUUAAAAUCCAACUUGAAAAUUGACUCGGGGCAAGUUCUAGGUCACGAGUUGGAAGGGUCAAACAAGGUUGACUCGUGUCAAUGCAUAGAUAAAAGUGAUUGUUUAAAUAAUUUUAAAACUCAAUCUGGGAGUUGAACCAAGACAAGGUCCGGGGCCAAGAGAACAACCUAGAUUGACCCAAAAUCUUCUUUUUAAAAAAAUAAUAAUAAUCAAAGUAACCUUGUUUUCAUUAUAAUUUUUUUUUAAAAAAGUAAAUAUGUUUUUGACCCAUGUUUUAUCCCAGAUCGAUCCAGGUUUUUACCAGAUCAGAUCGAGUCAAUCAUUCCUCUAUUUUUUUAAACUUGGACCGGUCAAGGUCCCUGGUCAACCUGUCAUGUCAGUUUAGAUUUUAUAACUAUGAUUAUUAUAAUUUUAUUAAUUAAUUUCAACACUUAAUAUAAAUUAAAAAAAUUAGAAUAAAAAAUAUUUUUUUAUAUUUUUUUUUUAUUUGUUUUUUUUUUUUUUUGUAUCCCGUAACAAUAACGUAAAUAACGUAGAUGUUACUUCUAUUGUAUGUAUAAUUUCUGUCAGCCACGUUAUCAGAGCUUCUCGAAGAGUUGCUUUGUUAUCAGAGUUCCUGCCAACCUUAGGCUGAUGGAAUUGCUUUGUUAUCAGAGGUUUUUUUUACAUGCACAACCUUGGCAGCCUGAAAAUGUACAUGCACCAUGCGCUGAUAGUGAAAACUAGUUUGUCAUGAAUUGGGAUAGUAACAAUAAGAGAGAGAAGCAAAAACAAAACAUACUAUGAUAAUUUUGAGUUCAAUCAAUCAUGAAUUGCAGGACAUGAUUCAGUGUAUGAACUCCAUGGACAUUGGAUCUUGAUUCAGAGAAAAGUUUGGUUCUUUCUGUUUUUACAAUGAUCAGAUUCUUCCUGGAUAUAACUACACUAAAAGGACCUAUUCGACCUGAAGCUUGUUUCCUGCUUUUGUUCUUCUGGAGAGCUCCCUAGAGGUAAGAAAUGAUGCCCCAGAGAGAUAAAACAAGAGAAAGUCCUUUUUUUGACAUGAAAUUUCUCUCGGUGGAUAACAAACAACAGCUAAAGUCCCUGUCAUUUGCAGCAGGGCAGCCAGUGUAAUAGCAUGCAUGGAACAACGCAAACCAACUGCGGGAAGAAACAUAGCUAUAAGAGGGCACUGCAGACACGAAGCACAUAAUAUUUUGCUUUCCUGAGCUCCACUGUCUACAUAACAAGCAAGAGUGAGAUGGUCUUAAGACCUUAAGACCGACCCACUUCUUAUAUUUUACAAGAAGUCUUUAUUUUGAUUACAAUCACAUUCUUUAUCCAUUCAUUUUCGCAUUCAUGAAAUCACAGAAGUAUCAUUAUUACUUUCAUGGCUUGGUACACACACAGAAGCAGUAGCUAAACUGCUGGAAUUCGAACUCGAUCCAAGCAAGAUUUCCCAUCCAGCUUGUUGCUUUGCUGAAGUUCCAGGUAGUCUUUGUAUUUCAUGCCAACGUAUGCUGCUGGCUCAUUGCCUAUACUGCUCACUAAUAACUCUGGUGCUGGGCUAACGACUGAGUCUAGUGAUGGUCCAUGUGCCAUAGCUAUGGAUAUC
rnacentral:lncRNA from 1 species